CGCCCCGCCCCCGCCCCUCGGCAGCACGUGCGCCUGGCGUCAUUUCCUGUUAUUCUCGUAGCUGCCUCGGCGGUCUGCAGCGGGUUCGCUCUGGACCGGCAUUUGGGGCGUGCCUGCUUCCUCUGGCAGGUGAGUGGGUUGGCGUUGUUCUUAGCGGCCGCCGAACCGCCUCACUUCCCGGGGUCUCCCAGUGUUUGAUGUUACACCUGGAGUCACCGAAGCGAAGGAAUUGCGCUGGAUUAGGCCAGGGUGGGCGAAUCUUCGCGGCUGUGGAGCCCCUCUGAGCACUUGGCCAGUCUCCUUGUGUUGGGAAUCUGGACCGCCUACGACAUCUCCAGUCCUCGGACACCAGCCCUUCCCGGGGAGCUUUCAGGGUCUGCACAUAAGCGAGGAGGUAUCAUCCUUGGCCAGAUCCCUGAGUGUGAGGCCGGAAUUGGAAUGGAAAGGUCUUCGCUUCUAAACCCCUGUUGUUUGAUGUGAAGCAACUGCCUUACUCUUGCUAAGUCUCAGUUUUUCCGCCUGUUAAUGUGAGGAAGUUGGACUGUAUCAGCAAAUCUCGUUUUUCUCAGGCAUGGACUCCUUUGAGAAUCUAGUGAGAACUAGACCUUCUCUACAUAAAAAGAAUGCAUAUAACCACUAAAUUUCGCAAAAAGGUUUGGGCAGUUCAUCUAAGUAGGUGAUUUUUAGGGAUCUUUCCAUUUGUAUGGCUCUGGCGAUUCCUCAGAAGAAAGGCAGAGAAGGGGUGAUCUGUGUAACAGUGGGUCACCCCCUCCAUCACCGGGACUGGUUCUGUUGAUCUAGCUAUGCUUCUCACCAGGCCCCAGCUCUGCUAAUGCACUUCUCCGAGCUUUGUGGGAAAACAUGGAUAAUAAAUAAAAUAAAAGUGGCUGCAGUUGGUUCCUGCCCGCCCCUUACACGUGUUGUUACCUAAACCGAAAAUGGACCCUCCCACCCCCAUUCCCCAAUGCUUAGGUAUAGUCACCUAACUAGACAGACUGCUUGAAAUAGUGUGUCUAACUUAACCACAGUCAGACCUUGGAAUGCCUGACCCUUGUGUCUAGGAAUGGAAUGUACAGGUCAUUGUAUAAGUUGGUUAAAUAUAAAUCAUGCAGUGGGCCCUGGGUAAUAAUUUUAAAUUCUUGUUCAUACCAGAGGCUAAAUAACUAACAGGGAAUGGAAAAAAAUACUGUUAGAAUUCUAAAGUUCCAACAUCACACCAAGUGAUGCUAAUAAUAAUGGUUACCUUUUACUACGAAGCAGCUAUGUACAUGUUCUCUCAAUAUUCCAGUGAUUUUACACAUUUUAUGAGUGAGAAUGACUGGGACUCAUAACUUGUUCUAGCUUCCCUUAUCCUAUGUCACACAGUGCUACUAAGUGACCCAGUCAGGAUUUAAUCUGUCUCAAAGCCUGUCCAUCCACUGCCUACCCCUCAACAUCUCUUAGAAAAGAAUAAAAAAGAGAAAUACAUGAUGCAUCUUUUUUCCCUGAAGUUGCCAAAUGAAUUGCAUUAAGAUCAAAUAUGUGUUUUUAAGCUGUCAUUUGAAAAUAUUGAUGCAGAUAAAAGUCAACAUAUCCUUGAGGGCAGGGACUGUAUGGAGAUCAAUAAUGAAUUCCCAAAGCCUAACACAGUUCCUAAAGGCUAGUAGGUGCAAAAUAUAAUUUUGGUGAAUUCUUCAUUUUACCUAUUUCCACCCAUUAUGGCAUUAAAUACCGAGAACCAAAAAGUUUCAAAGUGCUUCAUGUAAGCAUAUUUCCAUCAUAAAGUUAAGAUGCACUUCUGUGAAUGUGGGUCAUUACUCAGAAUAUUCAAAAGGUAAGAACCUCCUGGAAUACUGCAGUUUGCCAACUCACACCGUCUGAUGGCCUGAAAUUUCAAGUCAUUAUAUUUCAAGACUGGUUUACUGUCUGGUACCUCAUGACUUAGAAUGAGACAGAGAAGCUACAAAACAUGUGAUCAGAAGGAACAAACAGUCAGACUUGCCUCCUGCACCCCCAACACAGGAUUUUUACAGCCAUGAGAAAAACGCUGAGUUUAUGUGUAGAUUUUAUAGGUAUUGAGGAAGUUGUCUUGGUACUACCUGAAUGCACAUAGUAAUGCCAUUUAAUCAGAAUGCUAUAGUACCAGUAAAAUUCCUUCCUCCUUAACAAUACCUGUUACAUGUAUCUUGUAAAAGGCAACCUAAAAAAAUAAUUCCCCAACAACAUGUUGCCAUCCCACCUGUCAGUAAUCUAGAAGCGUAGCAUUGUUUUAAGGCUCAAAUUAAUUUAUUCCUUACCUUGACAUAAUUUUAAGAAUGACUUCAGAGUAGUGGACGGUAAUGACAAUGAUCAAUUGUAUCUUGAUGCACAAGGAUUCUCUCAUUUAAUCCUCAUAACCAACUUGUGAAACAGGUACUUUAUUAUGUCCAUUUUACAGCUGAGGAAACUUGGGCUCAGACCAAUUAGAUAACUUGUCCAUGGUUACACAGCUUGUAAGUACAGAAUUGAGAUUCAAACUAAGCCAUCUGACCCUACAGCCACCUUUCUGAUCACUGAGUUACACUGCUUUUCUUAGCCUCAAUCCCUUACACACCUUAAACUAAGUCAGGGAUACCUGCUUCCACCUAGAAAAUACCAGUGGGCUUGAGGAUAUUGGCUGCCCAGGGUCUGGGACUGUGUUCUAGCUACAGUUGUCUUGUGUGCCCUUGAACUCACCAGGAAUAUCUCCCCCUUUGGCCUUUUGUGUUUGAUGUUACCUCUGCUUAGAACAUUAUUCACCCACAACUCUUCUUUUCAUUCAAGUCUACUCGUGUCAUUUCCCCAUAGGGGCCUUCCUGGCUACCCCAGCAACCCCCUUCACUCUGUAUCCCUUUUCUUGGCUCUAACUCAUUGUAGUACUUACACUACCUCUGUAUAUCCAAAAGUGACAAAGGCCUCACUGGAAUAGAAGCUACCUAAGGACAGAGACUUCUGCCCGUUUUGUUUAUCACUACUUUUCUCAUUGACUCUAAAAUGUACUUUUCCCACAAUUUAGCACUCUGAAAAUCUAAAUGCAUCUGAUAAUUGACAGUGCCCUAGUUUAAUUGGUAACAUUUGUUUCUUUCUUAAUCAUCUCUACACUAAGUAGUGAAUCUUUAAAAUGAUGGUGUCUUAGAAUUGAUUAAAAUGCCAAUUAUCUCCAGGGCCUAAACUCUUGCCUAGCACAGAGUUGGCACUCAGUAAUUAUACUUGUUUAAUGAAAGUACUGAAUGUUCACUAUGUGCCAGCAAUUAUUUAAAUAUUUUUAAUCCCCACAAUUAUCCUGUUACGAAAUACUUUGUUAGCAAAGCAGUGUGAGGGUGGGGAUCAAAUGAGUGUUGAUCAUUUUGGAAGGCAGGGAGAGUGAAGAGAGCUGCUUCCUGCUCUGCUCUGCAGGAGGGCCGGUGGUGUGUCAGGUUGCCUUUGGUGUCCCCAGCUUCCACUUGUUUUUUCCACAUACCUUGGUGACUGCCUGCUGUGGGUGGAUGUCCAGAAGGGUUGCCUAGUCCAGUCUGGAGGUGCAGCGGGGUGUCUCAGAGAAGGCUUCCUUGUGGAGGUUUUGUCUAAAUUGGGUUUUGAAUGUCAGGCAUUGGCCUAGGAAGUGGGAAAGGAUGGAAAGAGACUGGAGAGAGUCCAGGUCAGCUCAAAGAGAGAAUCGUGUUAAGGAGCUUGGUUUUUGUCCUUGAGCAAAAUAGCAGUGUGCCAGUGGCCAGCUUAUAUUUCUCCGGCAGCCUCACGGGAAGUAGAUGGAGAGGAGGGAAAUGGAAGAGAGGCCAGUUAGAAGACAGUCGAAGUAAUCUAAGUGAAGGCCAGAACUGGAACAAUGGCUGAAGGGCUGUGCGGGGAGACCCUGGAGUCUAAAGAGACUGCAGGAUUUGUGGCUGAGUUGUCUGGCCCGAGUGAAUGGGUGGCCAGUAGGUUGGCACCAUUCACUAAGGAGGGAAAUCCAGGAAGCCAACAGGUUUAAGGAAAAGCGAGACAGUUUAGUUUUGGACGGAGGAGUUUGAAGGGCAAAUGAAAGCAAGAAUCGGGUCAUGAAGGGUCUGAAAGGCCAUGUCAAGGGGUUUAUUCUAAGAAACCUGAAAGCUAUAGAAGAAAAGGGAAGUGACUUUUAUUUUAGAAGGAUUACCCUGGUUUCAGCCUGGAUAGCACUGUGACUCAGGCUUGAGAGGGCAACGAUCUAAAGAGCAGGUGGCCAUAGGAAUGGAGAGCGAGUUAACAGAUUGAAAGUUGUAAUAGAUCAGGCUUUGGUGAGAAAUUGAAUAUGAACAGGAGGGGCAGAGAGAGAAAGUGGACAAUGAACAAUUUGCCUUCUAGUUUGAGCAACUGAGUGGGUUGCUGGUGCCUAUUUCUGAUGUAACUCUUGAAUCCAGUUGACAGCAGACAGACCAAUAACAGCAUUUAAAUGGAAUGUGAUAAUAAAAGCUACUAGUACUUUUAUAGCUCUUACUAUGUGUCAGAAAACUCAUUUUAAUCCUUGUAACAAUCCAAUGAGAUUACCAUUAUCACCUUCAUUUUCCAGACUAGGAAACUGAAGCAAAGAGAUGCCAAGUAACUUGCCUGGCAUCACACAGCUAGUAAGCCGUGGAGCUAGAAUCUGAGCCGAAGCAGUCUGGCUAAAGUCUGUACUCUCACUGCCACCUUAUGGUGAGAUGCCUUUGAACCGACGAGCUCAGUUUGGAUCUGUUGAACUCCAGAGAUAUGUGGAUAUAUCUGGGGGCAGGAAGAUACAUGAGUCUGAAACACAAGUCAGAGAUUUUGAGAUACAGAUCGUGGUCAGCGCGCAGAUGGCUGUUGCAGCCGCAGGAGAGGGUGGGUGCGCCAGCGAAUGAGACGGUGGGAAAUAAUAGGAAAGAAACAAGGGAGCCCUGGAAGGCAGGCACAAGCACUUCAGUUAUGGGGAGGGUAUAUUCCCUUCUGCAGGUUAAUAAAUUGGCAUCUGGUAUAUGUAUCAUCAAUCAGUAUUUUUUGAGUCCACCCCCCUGAAUCUGAUCAGCUCUGGACAACCUGACAUGGAGUUCUUGGACCCACAACCCUAAGGACCUGCCCUGGUCGUGGUGGCCCUUCCCACUCUCUCCUUGCCACUAGAUUCCACUCGGUGGCCUUUUGGCUUCCCAGGACAUCAGUUUUUGCCCCUCGCCACAGCGGAAGAGCCUCUAGCUGCUCUGUCUGCCACUGGCCAACUUUGUCAGCCCAGGGCCCUUCCUUACCUCCAGGACUCCAGAACACGUCACUUGGGAUUUCUUCAGGGGCCUCCUUAAGUUAUUUUUUAGCCUUUUACCCAUACAUUUCUAACUCCAAGUUAGGAAGUUUUGCAUGAGCAAAGUAGAGAAAAUGAACAGAUGAUUCACAGAAAAAGAAAUAUAAAUGGCCCUCAUGCAUGUGAAAAGAUGCUCAAUGUCAAUCUUCAAAGGAUAAAUGCUUGUUAAAAGUACAUGAGAUACCAAUUUUAACCUCUCAGAUUGGCAGCAAUCUCAAUUCCAGGGGGGCAGGGCAGCAGGCAACAGGCACUUUCAGACAUUGCGGGUGGGAUUGUGAAUUGACAAGAUCUAUCAAAAUGACGAGUCUAGGAUUCCACAAAUGCAGGUGACAUUUUUACAUACAUGUAAUGGCUUAUGUAAGAGGUUAUCCAUUGCAGCAUUGGUUGUAAUAGCAAAAGACUGGAAACACCCCAGGUGUCAGUAGAGGACUGGGCAUCUUCACUGGUGCAUCCACACUGGAGUACUGGGUAGCUGGGAAAAGAGGAAGCUCUUUGUGGACAGAGGAAUCAUUUCUAAAAUAUAGCAAGUGAAAAAAGCAAGAUGCUCCACUACGAAUAUAUUUUGUAUUGCUGUGUUGCAUUAAGAAACACUGAAAAGAUAUACAGGACACAAGUUUUUCAAGGAGUGGCAGGGGUAGGACAGUGGCAGGCAGGCAGACAUCAUAAAGUGGACCUUGCGUUCUGAGUUUUGGAUCCUGACACUGGAUUACCUAUGCAAAACCACCACCACCAAAAAUGUGAAGAGCUGCUGCCCGAAAGCUAUUGAGCUAAACCUUUAGUCACUCACGCUUACUAUACCUGCUGGUUUCAUAAUGGCUGGGUUUGGUUUUACACUUUGAGUGAAGCUCUAUCUUGGUAAGUCUUCAAUUCAUUCUACAUUUAAACUGUUGUAUCAUGGUUUCCUGGCUCAGCCUAACUCCCAAGAAUUCUUUCCUUGCCCUGCAUGUACUCUAAACCAAUUUUCACCCUCAAGUGUUAACAUUAGGAAGAUUUUGACUCUUACCUCACUGUGGACUUCAGAAAGUUAAAUUUAAAAUUCAGAGCUGAGCAGUGGCUUCCUGAGCAGCUAAAAGCAUUCAUUCUGUGGCUGGGGGGCUGCAGGCUUCUUAGGAAUCAGGAAUUAUCAUCAAAAAAAUAUAUUGGUUUUGAUCUCAAAAAAUGUUCUUUGCUUGACAGAUGAGCCCACCUCUCAGAUGGUAGGGCACUUUGACCAUCUCACCAAGGCCACAUAGAAUGGGUGAGGUACUUCUCCAAAGGAAAAAAUGGGUUGCUACUGCCCAAAGAAAGGGGUAGACAGGAUGUGCAGGCAAAAAUAACAAACGUCUCCUGUAGAUUUGGUAACAUCUGCUCACUGUUGCCCCCACAUCUGGAUCUCCUGCCCACAUGUCUCCUCAGCACACCUCUGUGUCCUGUAUCCUGCUGGUCAUCGACGUGGAUGUCCCACAAACACUGGUAAAAUGUCAUGUGUUCAGCAUAGGGCCAGUUCUCUUUCCCACUGAGCCUAGUCUUCUAGCCUUCCCCGAUCCUUUCCGUUUCACUGAAUCAAAUUGAAUUUGAUUUACCUCCUCCCACCUGUCUGGCUCCUAGGUUAUUUAAUACCCACCCACCCACCUCACCCCCA